rnacentral:rRNA from 1 species
AUUGAACGCUGGCGGCGUGCCUAAUACAUGCAAGUCGAGCGAACGGACGAGAAGCUUGCUUCUCUGAUGUUAGCGGCGGACGGGUGAGUAACACGUGGAUAACCUACCUAUAAGACUGGGAUAACUUCGGGAAACCGGAGCUAAUACCGGAUGAUAUUUUGAACCGCAUGGUUCAAAAGUGAAAGACGGUCUUGCUGUCACUUAUAGAUGGAUCCGCGCUGCAUUAGCUAGUUGGUAAGGUAACGGCUUACCAAGGCAACGAUGCAUAGCCGACCUGAGAGGGUGAUCGGCCACACUGGAACGGAGACACGGUCCAGACUCCUACGGGAGGCAGCAGUAGGGAAUCUUCCGCAAUGGGCGAAAGCCUGACGGAGCAACGCCGCGUGAGUGAUGAAGGUCUUCGGAUCGUAAAACUCUGUUAUUAGGGAAGAACAUAUGUGUAAGUAACUGUGCACAUCUUGACGGUACCUAAUCAGAAAGCCACGGCUAAGUACGUG